rnacentral:misc_RNA from 1 species
GGCCGGCCGGAAGCACCGAGCACAGCUGGUGCAAGGCGGUUCCCGGUGGCACAGGUAUAACAGUCUUAGCUCUACUCUUGUCAAAACCACCAGACAUUUCACUUCUCCAAAAUGCCCUUCACAAACUCCAAAAUUCCAAUCCUAUCCUCAAAUCUCAACUCCAUUACGAAUCAAGCACAAAUUCCUACUCUUACAUCAUUCCCUCCACUUCUCAUCUUCAAAUCCAGCCGUUCGAUCUCUCAUCAACGGUUCAGAUUCUCCGACGCCUCAAAACCUCCGAUCUCACCUCCGUCUCCGAUUUUCAUCUCAUCCUCGAACACGAAAUCAACCACAACUCAUGGAUGAACACCGGCACUUCAUCAGAUUCCGACACGGAUAUCUUCUUCGCCAGCAUUUAUCAAUUAGAAAACGAAAAAUCGGUGUUCGCUUUAAGGAUUCAUACAUCGGUGUGUGAUCGGGCGGCUGCAUUGGCGGUGCUGAAGAAGUUAUUGAAGCUGGUGAGUUGUGAGAAGGAAGAUGAAGAAGGGACAGAAUUGGAAAUAUUGAAAAAGAUGGAGGUUGGUUUGGGGAUUGAAGAGUAUAUUCCAGAUGGUAAAGCGAGUAAACCAUUUUGGGCGCGUGGGAUUGAUAUGGUGGGGUAUGGUUUGAAUUCAUUGAGAUUUUGUAAUUUGAAGUUUAUGGAUUCGGAAUCAACGAGAGGAUCACAAGUUGUGAAAUUGCAGUUGAAUAAACAAGAGACUGAUCACAUUCUUGAUGGCUGUAAAACGAGAGGUAUAAAACUGUGUGGACUAUUGGCUGCUGCUGGAUUAAUUGCAGCUCAUUCCUCAAAAGGCCUAAAGGAGAAUCAAUGGGAGAAGUAUGCAAUUGUAACCCUUAUUAACUGCCGUUCAAUUCUUGAUCCAGUGCUUAGCCCUGAUUUUCCAGGCUUUUAUCAUUCUGCCAUCCUCAACACGCAUGACGUUAAGGGAGGAGAUGACUUAUGGGAGCUAGCAAAGAGAAGUUACACAUCUUUUAUCAACGCCAAGAACAAUAACAAGCAUUUCACAGACAUGGGAGACCUGAAUUUCCUCAUGUGCAGGGCCAUUGAUAAUCCCGGCUUAACUCCAUCCUCUUCACUUAGAACUUCUCUGAUCUCCGUGUUUGAAGACACUGUGAUCGAUACCUCCAGCACAAUGCAUCAAGAAAUCGGAUUAGAAGACUUCAUCGGGUGUGCAUCCGUGCAUGGGGUAGGCCCUUCUAUUGCCAUAUUCGAC